AUUGAACGCUGGCGGCAGGCCUAACACAUGCAAGUCGAGCGAGUGGCGGACGGGUGAGUAAUGUCUGGGAAACUGCCUGAUGGAGGGGGAUAACUACUGGAAACGGUAGCUAAUACCGCAUACCAUCAGAUGUGCCCAGAUGGGAUUAGCUAGUAGGUGGGGUAAUGGCUCACCUAGGCGACGAUCCCUAGCUGGUCUGAGAGGAUGACAAGCCACACUGGAACUGAGACACGGUCCAGACUCCUAAGGGAGGCAGCAGUGGGGAAUAUUGCACAAUGGGCGCAAGCCUGAUGCAGCCAUGCAGAGUGUAUGAAGAAGGCCUUCGGGUUGUAAAGCACUUUCAGCGAGGAGGCGUUACUCGCAGAAGAAGCACCGGCUAACUCCGUGCCAGCAGCCGCGGUAAUAC
rnacentral:rRNA from 1 species